rnacentral:rRNA from 1 species
GAACCAGACUCCUACGGGAGGCAGCAGUGAGGAAUAUUGGUCAAUGGGCGCGAGCCUGAACCAGCCAAGUCGCGUGAGGGAAGACGGUCCUAUGGAUUGUAAACCUCUUUUGUCGGGGAGCAAAAGACGCCACGUGUGGCGUUCCGAGAGUACCCGAAGAAAAAGCAUCGGCUAACUCCGUGCCAGCAGCCGCGGUAAUACGGAGGAUGCGAGCGUUAUCCGGAUUUAUUGGGUUUAAAGGGUGCGUAGGCGGGUUGUUAAGACAGGGGUAAAAGCCGGGGGCUCAACCCCGGGGAGCCGUUGAAACUGGGGGCCUUGAGUGGGCGAGAAGAAGGCGGAAUGCGUGGUGUAGCGGUGAAAUGCAUAGAUAUCACGCAGAACCCCGAUUGCGAAGGCAGCCUUCCGGCGCCCUACUGACGCUGAGGCACGAAAGUGCGGGGAUCGAACAGGAUUAGAUACCCGGGUAAA